UACGGAGGGUGCAAGCGUUAUCCGGAUUCACUGGGUUUAAAGGGUGCGUAGGUGGGUUGGUAAGUCAGUGGUGAAAUCCCCGAGCUUAACUUGGGAACUGCCAUUGAUACUAUCAGUCUUGAAUACCGUGGAGGUCAGCGGAAUAUGUCAUGUAGCGGUGAAAUGCUUAGAGAUGACAUAGAACACCCAUUGCGAAGGCAGCUUACUACGCCUAUAUUGACGCUGAGGCACGAAAGCGUGGGGAUCAAACAGG
rnacentral:rRNA from 1 species